GACUCUCUAGGAGAGUUCAAUUUGUACACGUUACCCUAAAGACCUUUGUGUACGGCAUAUUCUAGGAAUGUAGUAGGUGGGAAAGGGUAUUCAUGGUAUGUAAAAUGACCUCCGAGUCACUAUAAAAGGGGAGCCCUACCCCGUUGUAAAGGGACGGAUAAUUUUUGAACGAGAUUGCAAGUGCUUUUCCUAUUCUAUCUAUUGUGUUCGAGUCUCUUUGAGAUUUGCUUCCCAACAUUGGCGCUCACUAUGUUCUCAGCCAUGAAACUACCCACGAUGCCACCUCAGAAGAAGAAGAAGACCACCGAGGAUGAGAGAGAGC
rnacentral:lncRNA from 1 species